rnacentral:rRNA from 1 species
CCUACGGGGUGCAGCAGUGAGGAAUAUUGGUCAAUGGCCGAGAGGCUGAACCAGCCAAGUCGCGUGAGGGAAGAAGGUACAGCGUAUCGUAAACCUCUUUUGUCAGGGAACAAAGGCGGGGACUAGUCCCCGGAUGAGGGUCCCUGAAGAAAAAGCAUCGGCUAACUCCGUGCCAGCAGCCGCGGUACUACGGAGGAUGCGAGCGUUCUCCGGAUUUGGUGGGUUUAAAGGGUGCGCAGGCGGCCUGUUAAGUCAGCGGUAAAAGCACGGGGCUCAACCCCGGCGAGCCGUUGAAACUGGCGGGCUGGAGUGGGAGAGAAGUACGCGGAAUGCGUGGUGUAGCGGUGAAAUGCUUAGAUAUCGCGCAGAACCCCGAUUGCGAAGGCAGCGUACCGGCUCCACACUGACGCUGAGGCACGAAAGCGUGGGUAUCGAACAGGAUUAGAUACCCCUGUAGUC